AACGAACGCUGGCGGCGCGCCUAAUACAUGCAAGUCGAGCGAGAAGACGUAGCAAUACGUUUGUAAAGCGGCGAACGGGUGAGGAAUACAUGGGUAACCUACCCUCGAGUGGGGAAUAACUAGCCGAAAGGUUAGCUAAUACCGCGUACGCUCCUUGGACUUCGGUUCAGGGAGGAAAGCGAUACCGUGGGUAUCGCGCUCUUGGAUGGGCUCAUGUCCUAUCAGCUUGUUGGNGAGGUAACGGCUCACCAAGGCUUCGACGGGUAGCUGGUCUGAGAGGACAAUCAGCCACACUGGCACUGCGACACGGGCCAGACUCCUACGGGAGGCAGCAGUAAGGAAUAUUGCGCAAUGGGCGAAAGCCUGACGCAGCGACGCCGCGUGGGGGAUGAAGGUCUUCGGAUUGUAAAACCCCUUUCGGGAGGGAAGAUGGAACGAGCAAUCGUUCGGACGGUACCUCCAGAAGCAGCCACGGCUAACUUCGUGCCAGCAGCCGCA
rnacentral:rRNA from 1 species